rnacentral:rRNA from 1 species
UACGUAGGGUGCGAGCGUUGUCCGGAAUUAUUGGGCGUAAAGGGCUCGUAGGCGGUUUGUCGCGUCGGUCGUGAAAACUUGGGGCUUAACCCUGAGCUUGCGGUCGAUACGGGCAGACUUGAGUUCGGUAGGGGAGACUGGAAUUCCUGGUGUAGCGGUGAAAUGCGCAGAUAUCAGGAGGAACACCGGUGGCGAAGGCGGGUCUCUGGGCCGAUACUGACGCUGAGGAGCGAAAGCGUGGGGAGCGAACAGG